AGAGUUUGAUCCUGGCUCAGAGCGAACGUUAGCGGCGGGCCUAACACAUGCAAGUCGAGCGAGAAAGUGGCUUCGGCCAUCAGUAAAGCGGCGGACGGGUGAGUAACACGUAGGUAAUCUUCCCUCGAGCGGGGGACAACGUCCCGAAAGGGACGCUAAUACCGCAUACGUUCUCCGAGAUUCCGGUCUUGGAGAGGAAA
rnacentral:rRNA from 1 species